UGGACGCUUGCAGUAUGUAAAAUUGUAUAAUUGUUUUUUGAAAAAGUUUAUUUCUCUAAGUAAAAAAAGUUUAACUUUUAGUGAAAGGUUAGAUUACCUAUUUUUUUACAGGGAACCUAACUUUGAACCUGAUUUUGAAAAUCACUUGUGUUUUAGAUAAUCGAACCAGGUAAUAAAACAAUUCACUCUAUGGACCCUAUGGGAGAACAGACAAAUUCCAUCAAAAAAGAAGAAGUGAAAUGGAAUUGUUACUUACAACAAAGAUAUGGUGUUUCAGAAAAGUUUGAAAUAUUAACAUUACCACAUGCCAUACGAGCUGAAGUUUGCUGAAAGUUGUAC